rnacentral:rRNA from 1 species
CCUACGGGAGGCAGCAGUCGAGAAUCAUUCACAAUGGGGGAAACCCUGAUGGUGCGACGCCGCGUGGGGGAAUGCAGGUCUUCGGAUUGUAAACCCCUGUCAUGUGGGAGCAAAUUAAAAAGAUAGUACCACAAGAGGAAGAGACGGCUAACUCUGUGCCAGCAGCCGCGGUAAUACAGAGGUCUCAAGCGUUGUUCGGAAUCACUGGGCGUAAAGGGUGCGUAGGCUGUUUCGUAAGUCGUGUGUGAAAGGCGCGGGCUCAACCCGCGGACGGCACAUGAUACUGCGAGACUAGAGUAAUGGAGGGGGAAGCGGAAUUCUCGGUGUAGCAGUGAAAUGCGUAGAUAUCGAGAGGAACACUCGUGGCGAAGGCGGGUUCCUGGACAUUAACUGACGCUGAGGCACGAAGGCCAGGGGAGCGAAAGGGAUUAGAUACCCCAGUAGUC